rnacentral:lncRNA from 1 species
UUAUGCGGGAUUGCCUGUUGAUGCAAGGAAUAAGGGCUGGCUUGAUGCCAAGAAGAAGCUGGUGGAGGAAUAACGGCAGCUAAAUCAUCUGCUGCACAGUAGUACGUAUUAGGCAAAUGGGAUUUUGCUUUCCUAGGCUGAGGAGCGUAGUCAGAGGUCUUUGGUGCCUGAAUGCUUGGCUAAAUCAUCUGUUGCACAGUAGUAUAUAUUAGGCAAAUAAGAUUUUUCUUUCAUAGGCUGAGGAGCGUAGUCAGAGGUCUUUGGUGCCUGAAUGCUUGACUUAGAGCUUGAACUAGGGGCAAUCCAGCAACCAUUUCAACUGGAUACCAUCAAGAGGGCAAGAGAGGAGGAGCCGAUGAAAUUCUUUCGGAGUUCUUCCCCGCUGACGUCUAAGCUCUCAAGGACUCGGAUUAGUCAACAGGAAUGAAAUC